CUUAUAGUUCAAAUGCAUCUUUAUUUACAUUAAAAAUACCUCUCAUUAACUGCCUCACAUUAGCAACGAGGGAAAGUAUGUUGUACAUAAUAAAAGCACGGCUUUUCAAGAGAUGGUUCCACACAAUCAGCUCCCGAAGAGACAAGGAGAAUAAUUAAUGCAAUAUCUGAAAAACACCUUCACUUCUGUAGUGAGUUCUUCCACUGAAACAGGUGCCUUCAGUUUCUUCUCAACUACAUUAAGAGGGCUAAGAGAACAGAGGUCUCAGCCAGUAGAGGGCAGCAACAGCUGUGCCUUUACACCACAGUUGCUGGCUGAAGAGUGCUAAGUUUGCAGUUCAGCUUCAGGACACUGAGAAACAUUUUAAUACUGUUAGUGACUAUUACAAAAUCUAUUUAUGUUUCUAAUUUAGUAGUGAAGAGACAAAUUUCAGAUAUCAUCAUGGCUGCUUUUUGCAGUGUGUCAUGAAACCCAUAAGAUGGAAAAGACCUCACGCAGUUCUGAGAAAUGCUCAAGACACGAUUCAAACUAACAACAUUAUAGAGCCUCUCUAGAAUAAAGACCAUACUAUACUUUAAUUCAGCAUCCCUCCUAAUACUUUUCAUUAAAUUUAACAUUAACUUUACCUUAAAGAUUAUGUCAUUCCACCCCCCUCCUGUAGGACUGCAUCCAACCUGGCCUUGAACACCUCCAAGGGUGGAGUGUCCAUAACUUCUUUGGGCAACCUGUUCAGGUGCCUCACCACCCUCUGAAUAAAACAAUUCUUCCAAACAUCUAACCUAAAAUUUCCCUUCUUUUAGCUUAAAGCUAUUUCCCCUUGUCCUAUCACUAUUAGGCCACGUAAAGAGUCAAUCCCCCUCCUGCUAAUAAGUUCCCUUCAAGUACUGGAAGGCCACAAUCAGGUCCUUCCUGUAACCUUCUGUUCCCCAAGCUGAGCAAGCCCAGCUCCCUCAGCUUUUCUUCAUCAGAGAGGUGCUCCAGCCCUUUGAUAUUCUUUGUGGCCUUCUCUGGACCUGCUCCAAUACCUCUGCAUUAUUCUAAUGCUGGGGGCCCCAGGCCUGGAUGCAGUACUCCAGAUGGAGCCUUACAAGGCAGAGUAGAGUGGAACAAUCACCUCAGUUUCCCUGGCAGCUACCUCUCUUUUAAUGCAGCCCAGGAAGCAGUUGGUCUUCUGGGCUGCAAGUGUUCACUGCUGG
rnacentral:lncRNA from 1 species